rnacentral:lncRNA from 1 species
GAUGAGGACUACUUAGGCAAGACAAAAUCAAGCAUUUCAAAAUGGCAUGAACAAUUUGAACAAUUUCUUUAACUCUGAUGACAUGUGAAUUAGGAGUUUUUUUUUAGUAUUUUCAUUUUUUAUAUUUCCCUUUAUGCAAUAUGAUCCAAGUAAGAGUAUUAGCUAUCUAUGAAGAAUGAUCUUCCCAAUUUGUACUUUUCUUUGUUUGAAAUUAAUGAACUUUGCUUUUG